rnacentral:rRNA from 1 species
UACGUAGGGUGCGAGCGUUGUCCGGAAUUAUUGGGCGUAAAGAGCUCGUAGGCGGUGUGUCACGUCGAUCGUGAAAACUUGGGGCUUAACUCUGAGCUUGCGGUCGAUACGGGCAUCACUGGAGUUCGGCAGGGGAGACUGGAAUUCCUGGUGUAGCGGUGAAAUGCGCAGAUAUCAGGAGGAACACCGGUGGCGAAGGCGGAUCUCUGGGCCGAUACUGACGCUCAUGCACGAAAGCGUGGGGAGCAAACAGG